rnacentral:rRNA from 1 species
UACGUAGGUGGCAAGCGUUGUUCGGAAUUAUUGGGCGUAAAGGGCGCGUAGGCGGCUCGUUAAGUCGGUUGUGAAAGCCCGGGGCUCAACCCCGGAGGGUCGACCGAUACUGGCAAGCUAGAGUACAGAAGAGGUAGCUGGAAUUCCAGGUGUAGCGGUGAAAUGCGUAGAUAUCUGGAGGAACACCGGUGGCGAAGGCGGCAUCCUGGACCGGUAUUGACGCUGAGGCGCGAAAGCCAGGGGAGCAAACGGG